rnacentral:misc_RNA from 1 species
GAUGAAGAACGUAGCGAAAUGCGAUAAGUAAUGUGAAUUGCAGAAUUCAGUGAAUCAUCGAAUCUUUGAACGCACAUUGCGCCCAUUAGUAUUCUAGUGGGCAUGCCUGUUCGAGCGUCAUUAAGUCCACUUAAGCCCUGCUUAGUGUUGGGAGACUGCUCCAGCGGUGCUACCCUGUAGCUACCCUGCAGCUCCUCAAAGACAGCGGCGGAGUUGUGGUAUCCUCUGAGCUUAGUAACUUGUUCUAGCUUUCGAGUACACCACUUCCCCUGCCGUAAAACCCUUAAUUUUUAAUGGUUGACCCCGGAUCAGGUAGGAAUACCCGCUGAACUUAAGCAUAUCAAUAAGCGGAGGA